UGGCGAGCAAUAAUGAUGGUAUAAUUCGUCGGCGUGUUACAAAUACUGAAAAUACAGCUUCAAAACCUGUUGAAGUUGAAGAAAUGCCGCACAGAACAUCAAAUUCAAGUGAAAUAGAAACAGAAUAUCGGGAAAGUAAACUUGAAUCUGGCACAUACUGGCUGACCAGGAUUGUUUUUCUGCGCUCAUUGGCGUUUGUUUAUUGU